UACGAAGGGGGCUAGCGUUGCUCGGAAUCACUGGGCGUAAAGGGUGCGUAGGCGGGUCUUUAAGUCAGGGGUGAAAUCCUGGAGCUCAACUCCAGAACUGCCUUUGAUACUGAGGAUCUUGAGUUCGGGAGAGGUGAGUGGAACUGCGAGUGUAGAGGUGAAAUUCGUAGAUAUUCGCAAGAACACCAGUGGCGAAGGCGGGUUGCUGGGCUGACACUGACGCUGAUGCGCGAAAGCUAGGGGAGCGAACGGG
rnacentral:rRNA from 1 species